rnacentral:rRNA from 1 species
CGUUUCCUGAAAAUAUAAGAAAUCCUGCCUGCCCAGUGACACUUGUUUAACGGCCGCGGUACCCUGACCGUGCAAAGGUAGCAUAAUCAUUUGCCCUAUAAUUGAGGGCUUGCAUGAACGGCAAGACGAGAGUUUAUCUGUCUCUAGGAUGAAUAAAAAAUUAUGCUUUAAGUGAAGACACUUAAAUUACCAUACAGGACAAGAAGACCCUAUAGAGCUUAACUUUAAAAAAGACAUUCUUUUCUUAUUAUAAAUAAAUAAACACUCUUUUUUAUAGUUUGGUUGGGGCGACCAAGGAACAUAAACCUUCCUUUAUUCUAAAGGGCUACACUCCAUUCUUUGAUCCAUUUCUUGAUUAACGAACCAAGCUACCUUAGGGAUAACAGCGUAAUCUUUUCCAAGAGUUCAUAUCUACGAAAAGGCUUGCGACCUCGAUGUUGGACUAGGAUAUCCGAAAGGUGCAGAAGCUUUUAAUGGUGGGUCUGUUCGACCCUUAAAAU